GGGGUAUGACUUCAUAUAAAACUUCAUCAAUAAAUUGACUCGAAAUAGCAAAUUGUACCUUAUAUUGCCAAUCAAUUAUACACUCCACAUUCUUUUGAAUUCAAUCGAAAGGAUAGGGGUUAGGAUGCGGCAUUAUUUUCAACCCGAGCCGUUGGAUAAGACUUACCGAGAUAAGAUUCUUUUGACCCCUCGUAUCGAUUAUAGCUCAGAUUACAUCUUGUUUGACUUGAAUCUUGAUA
rnacentral:lncRNA from 1 species